rnacentral:rRNA from 1 species
GACGAACGCUGGCGGCGUGCUUAACACAUGCAAGUCGAACGGACAGGCCCUGCUUUUGUGGGGUGCUCGAGUGGCGAACGGGUGAGUAACACGUGAGUAACCUGCCCUUGACUUUGGGAUAACUUCAGGAAACUGGGGCUAAUACCCGAUAGGAGCUCCUGCUGCAUGUUGGGGGUUGGAAAGUUUCGGCGGUUGGGGCUGGAUUCGCAGCUUAUCAGCUUGUUGGUGGGGUAGUUGCUUACCAAGGCUGUGACGGAUAGGCGGCCUGAGAGGGGGAACGGGGACAAGGGGACUGAGAGAGGCAGCAGUAGCGUACGGGAGGCAAUGGGCGGAAGUAUUACAGAGUGGGCGGAAGCGAGAGGUAGAGACGUUGCGUGCGGAAUAACGGGCUAUGGGUUAUGAACAGAUGUGGAAUGAGACGAAGAGUGAGUGACGGUAAUUGGUAAGAAAGCAACGGCUAACUACGUG